rnacentral:rRNA from 1 species
AUUGAACGCUGGCGGCAGGCUUAACACAUGCAAGUCGAGCGAGUGGCGGACGGGUGAGUAAUGUAUGGGGAUCUGCCCGAUAGAGGGGGAUAACUACUGGAAACGGUGGCUAAUACCGCAUACUAUCGGAUGAACCCAGAUGGGAUUAGCUUGUUGGUGGGGUAACGGCUCACCUAGGCGACGAUCCCUAGCUGGUCUGAGAGGAUGACCAGCCACACUGGAACUGAGACACGGCCCAGACUCCUACGGGAGGCAGCAGUGGGGAAUAUUGCACAAUGGGCGCAAGCCUGAUGCAGCCAUGCCGCGUGUAUGAAGAAGGCCUUAGGGUUGUAAAGUACUUUCAGCGGGGAGGCGUUACCCGCAGAAGAAGCACCGGCUAACUCCGUGCCAGCAGCCGCGGUAAUAC